rnacentral:rRNA from 1 species
AUUGAACGCUGGCGGCAGGCCUAACACAUGCAAGUCGAACGGUAACAGGAAACAUCUUGCUGUUUCGCUGACGAGUGGCGGCCGGGUGAGUAAUGUCUGGGAAACUGCCUGAUGGAGGGGGAUAACUACUGGAAACGGUAGCUACUACCGCAUAACGUCGCAAGACCAAAGAGGGGGACCCUCGGGCCUCUUGCCGUCGGAUGUGCCCAGAUGGGAUGAGCUUGUUGGUGGGGUAACGGCUCCCCAAGGCGACGAUCCCUAGCUGGUCUGAGAGGAUGACCAGCCACACUGGAACUGAGACACGGUCCAGACUCCUACGGGAGGCAGCAGUGGGGAAUAUUGCACAAUGGGCGCAAGCCUGAUGCAGCCAUGCCGCGUGUAUGAAGAAGGCCUUCGGGGUGUAAAGUACUUUCAGCGGGGAGGAAGGGAGUAAAGUUAAUACCUUUGCUCAUUGACGUUACCCGCAGAAGAAGCACCGGCUAACUCCGUG